rnacentral:rRNA from 1 species
GACGAACGCUGGCGGCGUGCCUAAUACAUGCAAGUAGAACGCUGAAGAGAGGAGCUUGCUCUUCUUGGAUGAGUUGCGAACGGGUGAGUAACGCGUAGGUAACCUGCCUUGUAGCGGGGGAUAACUAUUGGAAACGAUAGCUAAUACCGCAUAACAAUGGAUGACACAUGUCAUUUAUUUGAAAGGGGCAAUUGCUCCACUACAAGAUGGACCUGCGUUGUAUUAGCUAGUAGGUGAGGUAAUGGCUCACCUAGGCGACGAUACAUAGCCGACCUGAGAGGGUGAUCGGCCACACUGGGACUGAGACACGGCCCAGACUCCUACGGGAGGCAGCAGUAGGGAAUCUUCGGCAAUGGGGGCAACCCUGACCGAGCAACGCCGCGUGAGUGAAGAAGGUUUUCGGAUCGUAAAGCUCUGUUGUAAGUCAAGAACGGGUGUGAGAGUGGAAAGUUCACACUGUGACGGUAGCUUACCAGAAAGGGACGGCUAACUACGUGCCAGCAGCCGCGGUAAUACGUAGGUCCCGAGCGUUGUCCGGAUUUAUUGGGCGUAAAGCGAGCGCAGGCGGUUUGAUAAGUCUGAAGUUAAAGGCUGUGGCUCAACCAUAGUUCGCUUUGGAAACUGUCAAACUUGAGUGCAGAAGGGGAGAGUGGAAUUCCAUGUGUAGCGGUGAAAUGCGUAGAUAUAUGGAGGAACACCGGUGGCGAAAGCGGCUCUCUGGUCUGUAACUGACGCUGAGGCUCGAAAGCGUGGGGAGCGAACAGGAUUAGAUACCCUGGUAGUCCACGCCGUAAACGAUGGGUGCUAGGUGUUGGAUCCUUUCCGGGAUUCAGUGCCGCAGCUAACGCAUUAAGCACUCCGCCUGGGGAGUACGACCGCAAGGUUGAAACUCAAAGGAAUUGACGGGGGCCCGCACAAGCGGUGGAGCAUGUGGUUUAAUUCGAAGCAACGCGAAGAACCUUACCAGGUCUUGACAUCCCGAUGCUAUUUCUAGAGAUAGAAAGUUACUUCGGUACAUCGGUGACAGGUGGUGCAUGGUUGUCGUCAGCUCGUGUCGUGAGAUGUUGGGUUAAGUCCCGCAACGAGCGCAACCCCUAUUGUUAGUUGCCAUCAUUCAGUUGGGCACUCUAGCGAGACUGCCGGUAAUAAACCGGAGGAAGGUGGGGAUGACGUCAAAUCAUCAUGCCCCUUAUGACCUGGGCUACACACGUGCUACAAUGGUUGGUACAACGAGUUGCGAGUCGGUGACGGCGAGCUAAUCUCUUAAAGCCAAUCUCAGUUCGGAUUGUAGGCUGCAACUCGCCUACAUGAAGUCGGAAUCGCUAGUAAUCGCGGAUCAGCACGCCGCGGUGAAUACGUUCCCGGGCCU